GAUGAACGCUGGCGGCGUGCCUAAUACAUGCAAGUCGAGCGAACGGACGAGAAGCUUGCUUCUCUGACGUUAGCGGCGGACGGGUGAGUAACACGUGGAUAACCUACCUAUAAGACUGGGAUAACUUCGGGAAACCGUAGCUAAUACCGGAUAAUAUUUUGAACCGCAUGGUUCAAAAGUGAAAGACGGUCUUGCUGUCACUUAUAGAUGGAUCCGCGCUGCAUUAGCUAGUUGGUAAGGUAACGGCUUACCAAGGCAACGAUGCAUAGCCGACCUGAGAGGGUGAUCGGCCACACUGGAACUGAGACACGGUCCAGACUCCUACGGGAGGCAGCAGUAGGGAAUCUUCCGCAAUGGGCGGAAGCCUGACGGAGCAACGCCGCGUGAGUGAUGAAGGUCUUCGGAUCGUAAAACUCUGUUAUUAGGGAAGAACAUAUGUGUAAGUAACUGUGCACAUCUUGACGGUACCUAAUCAGAAAGCCACGGCUAACUACGUGCCAGCAGCCGCGGUAAUACGUAGGUGGCAAGCGUUAUCCGGAAUUAUUGGGCGUAAAGCGCGCGUAGGCGGUUUUUUAAGUCUGAUGUGAAAGCCCACGGCUCAACCGUGGAGGGUCAUUGGAAACUGGAAAACUUGAGUGCAGAAGAGGAAAGUGGAAUUCCAUGUGUAGCGGUGAAAUGCGCAGAGAUAUGGAGGAACACCAGUGGCGAAGGCGACUUUCUGGUCUGUAACUGACGCUGAUGUGCGAAAGCGUGGGGAUCAAACAGGAUUAGAUACCCUGGUAGUCCACGCCGUAAACGAUGAGUGCUAAGUGUUAGGGGGUUUCCGCCCCUUAGUGCUGCAGCUAACGCAUUAAGCACUCCGCCUGGGGAGUACGACCGCAAGGUUGAAACUCAAAGGAAUUGACGGGGACCCGCACAAGCGGUGGAGCAUGUGGUUUAAUUCGAAGCAACGCGAAGAACCUUACCAAAUCUUGACAUCCUUUGACAACUCUAGAGAUAGAGCCUUCCCCUUCGGGGGACAAAGUGACAGGUGGUGCAUGGUUGUCGUCAGCUCGUGUCGUGAGAUGUUGGGUUAAGUCCCGCAACGAGCGCAACCCUUAAGCUUAGUUGCCAUCAUUAAGUUGGGCACUCUAAGUUGACUGCCGGUGACAAACCGGAGGAAGGUGGGGAUGACGUCAAAUCAUCAUGCCCCUUAUGAUUUGGGCUACACACGUGCUACAAUGGACAAUACAAAGGGCAGCGAAACCGCGAGGUCAAGCAAAUCCCAUAAAGUUGUUCUCAGUUCGGAUUGUAGUCUGCAACUCGACUACAUGAAGCUGGAAUCGCUAGUAAUCGUAGAUCAGCAUGCUACGGUGAAUACGUUCCCGGGUCU
rnacentral:rRNA from 1 species